rnacentral:rRNA from 1 species
AAAGUGGGUGGUAAACUCCAUCCAAGGCUAAAUACUUGCACGAGUCCGAUAGCGAACAAGUACCGUGAGGGAAAGUUGAAAAGUACUUUGAAGAGAGAGUAAACAGUGCGUGAAACCGCUCAGAGGUAAACGGGUGGAGUUGAACUGCAAGCUCUGGGAAUUCAACUGGUGAGUGUGGUUUUAGCUUGGUAAAAUUGGUGGACAUUGGGGUCUGCGUAGUAGCAGGUCUUCGCCUUCGGGUGGGGAUGCGCGAUGCACUUAUCAAGUGUUGUGCGCCUCAGUGGUCAUACCGACCAACUCGCUAGUGCACUUUCUCAGAGUGUUCACCACGACCGGCGCCGCUGUCUGGCCUCUAUAGUUAAACCGGUUUUGCAUAGUCCUUGUGGCUUUGCUUAGUCGGGACGGCAGGUAGCUCGUUGACUUGCUUGUGGUUCGCUGCAAGCGUGGUUUUCGAGUGUAAUCAGCUGACUGU